rnacentral:rRNA from 1 species
GGGCCCGCACAAGCGGUGGAGCAUGUGGUUUAAUUCGAUGAUACGCGAGGAACCUUACCAGGGCUUAAAUGUAGUGGGACAGGUCUAGAGAUAGACCCUUCUUCGGACUCAUUACAAGGUGCUGCAUGGUUGUCGUCAGCUCGUGCCGUGAGGUGUCAGGUUAAGUCCUAUAACGAGCGCAACCCCUAUCGUUAGUUGCCAGCGAGUAAUGUCGGGAACUCUAACGAAACUGCCAGUGCAAACUGUGAGGAAGGUGGGGAUGACGUCAAAUCAUCACGGCCCUUACGUCCUGGGCUACACACGUGCUACAAUGGCCGGUACAGAGAGCAGCCACUUCGCAAGAAGGAGCGAAUCUCUAAAGCCGAUCUCAGUUCGGAUUGGAGUCUGCAACUCGACUCUAUGAAGCUGGAAUCGCUAGUAA